GAUGAACGCUGGCGGCGUGCCUAAUACAUGCAAGUCGAGCGAACAGACGAGGAGCUUGCUCCUCUGACGUUAGCGGCGGACGGGUGAGUAACACGUGGAUAACCUACCUAUAAGACUGGGAUAACUUCGGGAAACCGGAGCUAAUACCGGAUAAUAUAUUGAACCGCAUGGUUCAAUAGUGAAAGACGGUUUUGCUGUCACUUAUAGAUGGAUCCGCGCCGCAUUAGCUAGUUGGUAAGGUAACGGCUUACCAAGGCGACGAUGCGUAGCCGACCUGAGAGGAUGAUCAGCCACACUGGAACUGAGGCACGGUCCAGACUCCUACGGGAGGCAGCAGUGGGGAAUCUUGGACAAUGGGCGAAAGCCUGAUGGAGCAAUGCCGCGUGUGUGAAGAAGGUCUUCGGAUUGUAAAGCUCUUUAAGUUGGGAAGAACAAAUGUAAGAUAAUACCUUCCCGUUUUGACGUUACCAAAAGAAAAAGCACCGGCUAACUUCGUG
rnacentral:rRNA from 1 species